GACCGGCGCACGGAUGAGUAACACGUAUCCAACCUGCCGAACUACUCUUGGACAGCCUUCUGAAAGGAAGAUUAAUACAAGAUGGCAUCAUGAGUCCGCAUGUUCACAAGAUUAAAGGUAUUCCGGAAGACAAUGGGGAUGCGUUCCAUUACACAGGAGGCCGGGUAACGGCCCACCUAGUCUUCGAUGGAUAGGGGUUCUGAGAGGAAGGUCCCCCACAUUGGAACUGAGACACGGCCCAAACUCCUACGGGAGGCAUGAGAGACGAAUAUUGGUCAAUGGGCGAAAGCCUGAACCAUGCAAAUAGCGUGAACGAUGACUGCCCUAUGGAUUGCAAACUUCUUUUAUAAAGAGAAUAAAGACAGCCAUGGACACCCGUUUGCAUGUACUUUAGGAAUAGGGAUUGGCUAAACUCCGUGCCAGCAGCCGCGGUAAUUAGGGAGGAUCCGAGCGGUUAUCCAGAUUUAUUGGGUUUAAAAGGGAGCGUAGAGGGAAGUUUAAGUCAGUUGUGAAAGUUUGCGGGCUCAACCGGUAAAAUUGCAGUUGAUACUGGAUAUCUUGAGUGCAGUUGAGGCAGGCGGAAUUCGUGGUGUAGCGGUGAAAUGCUUAGAUAUCACGAAGAACUCCGAUGCGAAAGGCAGCCUGCUAAGCUGCAACUGACACUGAGGCUCGAAAGUGUGGGUAUCAAACAGGAUUAGAUACCCUGGUAGUCCACACGGUAUACGAUGAAUACUCGCUGUUAGCGAUAUACUGCAAGCGGUCAAGCGAAAGCGUUAAGUAUUCCACCUGGGGAGUACGCCGGCAACGGUGAAACUCAAAGGAAUUGACGGGGGCCCGCACAAGCGGAGGAACAUGUGGUUUAAUUCGAUGAUACGCGAGGAACCUUACCCGGGCUUAAAUUGCAGAUGAAUUACGGUGAAAGCCGUAAGCCGCAAGGCAUCUGUGAAGGUGCUGCAUGGUUGUCGUCAGCUCGUGCCGUGAGGUGUCGGCUUAAGUGCCAUAACGAGCGCAACCCUUGUUGUCAGUUACUAACAGGUUCCGCUGAGGAUUCUGACAAGACUGCCAUCGUAAGAUGUGAGGAAGGUGGGGAUGACGUCAAAUCAGCACGGCCCUUAUGUCCGGGGCUACACACGUGUUACAAUGGGGGGUACAGAGGGCCGGUACCACGAGAGUGGAUGCCAAUCCCCAAAACCUCUCUCAGUUCGGACUGGAGUGUGCAACCCGACUCCAGGAAGCUGGAUUCGCUAGUAAUCGCGCAUCAGCCACGGCGCGGUGAAUACGUUCCCGGGCCUUGUACACACCGCCCGUCAAGCCAUGGGAGCCGGGGGUACAAGAAGAGCGUAACCGCGAGGAG
rnacentral:rRNA from 1 species